CCUGCUCCUUGAGGCGCUGCAGAUGUGGCUGCUGUGUAACAGGUGUGCCAGCAGAUGGCAGAGAGGAGAGAGGCUCUGCUUAUGCUCAGUGUUCUGAACUGUGAACAUCUGAAUACCUAAUAAUCCCUGAAA
ensembl:snoRNA LOC120098379 small nucleolar RNA SNORA17